AACACGCAUGACACACUGCAUAUCAAUAAGCGGAGGAAAAGAAACUAACAAGGAUUCCCUUAGUAACGGCGAGUGAAGCGGGAAGAGCUCAAAUUUGAAAUCUUCAAGGUUCUACCUUGACGAAUUGUAGUUUAUAGAAGUGUUUUCUGUUAGUGGAGUGGCAAAAGUUCUUUGGAAUAGGACAUCAUAGAGGGUGAGAAUCCCGUAUUUGGUCAUUCCUCCUAGCGUUGUGAUACACUUUCAACGAGUCGGAUUGUUUGGGAAUGCAGUCCAAAAUGGGUGGUAAAUUUCAUCUAAAGCUAAAUAUUGGCGAGAGACCGAUAGCGAACAAGUACCGUGAGGGAAAGAUGAAAAGAACUUUGAAAAGAGAGUUAAACAGUACGUGAAAUUGUCAAAAGGGAAGCGUUUGACACCAGUGUUGUUUUUCCGAAAAUCAAUUACGAAUGUUUUGUUUUUGAGGAGUUAUGACUUCAUCGGCUUGCUCCUUUCUUUACUGAAACUUUCUUAAUGCACUUUUCGGUUAACAAGUCAACAUCAAUUUCUUUUGUUGUAAAAGGGUAUGAGGAAGGUGGCUUUCUUUUCGGAGAAAGUGUUUAUAGCCUUGUGCCUCUGCAAUCGGAGAGGAUUGAGGUCUGCAGCGUAGAUCCUUCGGGGUUAGAUACAUUUGUGCUAAGUUAUAGCUUUUCAUAGACAACUUGUUGACUAUGUUUAGUCUUGUAGCUUACUCGCUGACGCUAUUUUACCUACGCUUAGGAUGUUGACUGAUAUGUAGUCGUA
rnacentral:rRNA from 1 species